CCUAGAGCUGCACUACUUAACCCUCACAGCCAAGCCCAGCCUUGUCAGUCUCAGGGGCCAUGUCCAGCUCCAGGAAGGAGCCUGGGCUCUGUGACUUGGUAGCUCAGAGCCCAUCAGUUGGUUCAGGCUCCAUCUCAUGUAUCCUGGAUUAGAGAACAAAGCAUUUCCCCUUUUCCAGGAUCAGCAGUCUUCCUUCAUCUUUAUUUGGCCUGGAGACACCUUCCUCAUCCUCAGCAUUAAAACACCAUCUUUGGGUGCCAGCUCCUAACUGUGGCAGACCCUGGUUUACUUCAAGAACUCCAGACAGUCACCCUGCCUGAGUCUGUGUCUACAGCCCUGAUAUUGCUCAAAAUGAUUUCACUUGUUCUCAGUCUUUGUCCUCUCCUAUUGACCUCAUAUACAGGUUCUGUUCCAUCCUUGGCCCUAGCCACUGAUACCUCACAAUGCUGUACACACCUGCCCCAGGCCUUUGCUGCUCCAACCUCAUGAGACUUGGUCACUCCACACGUGUUUACGGAAAGCAGGCCCUGUGUGAUUUAUGAAGCCAGGCUCUGAGGAUACACAAAAAGAGGAUGGUAUCUGCCCUCAGAGACUUAUCACCAGGUCAGAAGAUGAGUAGUGACAGACAGGCCAGUGAAGCUCCCCACCUAGGAAAAAGGCAGGGUAUGGGGUGCGCUUCUUAGGACAUGUGUCUUGAUUCCUAAUUCAACAAAGCAUCUCACUAAUCUUUGUGAUAUUAUCAGAAGUAAAUAUCUGGACU
rnacentral:lncRNA from 1 species